rnacentral:rRNA from 1 species
GCAUAUCAAUAAGCGGAGGAAAAAGAAACCAACAGGGAUUGCCCUAGUAACGGCGAGUGAAGCGGCAACAGCUCAAAUUUGAAAUCUGGCCUCGGCCCGAGUUGUAAUUUGCAGAGGAUGUUUCUGGCGCGGCGCCUUCUGAGUUCCCUGGAACGGGACGCCAUAGAGGGUGAGAGCCCCGUACGGUUGGACGCCUAGCCUGUGUGAAACUCCUUCGACGAGUCGAGUAGUUUGGGAAUGCUGCUCAAAAUGGGAGGUAUAUCUCUUCUAAAGCUAAAUAUUGGCCAGAGACCGAUAGCGCACAAGUAGAGUGAUCGAAAGAUGAAAAGCACCUUGAAAAGGGGGUUAAACAGCACGUGAAAUUGUUGAAAGGGAAGCGCCCAUGACCAGACUUGUGCCCGGCGGAUCACCCAGCGUUCUCGCUGGGGCACUCCGCCGGGUCCAGGCCAGCAUCGGUUUUCGCCGGGGGAUAAAGGCUCUGGGAACGUAGCUCCUCCGGGAGUGUUAUAGCCCUCUGCGUAAUACCCUGGCGGGGACCGAGGUACGCGCUCCGCAAGGAUGCUGGCGUAAUGGUCAUCAGCGACCCGUCUUGAAACACGGAUCAAGGAGUCGUCCAUUAGAGCGAGCGUUUGGGUGUCAAACCCGCACGCGUAAUGAAAGUGAACGUAGGUGAGAGCUUCGGCGCAUCAUCGACCGAUCCUGAUGUCCUCGGAUGGAUUUGAGUAUGAGUUUUACUGGACGGACCCGAAAGAUGGUGAACUAUGCCUGAAUAGGGUGAAGCCAGAGGAAACUCUGGUGGAGGCUCGCAGCGGUUCUGACGUGCAAAUCGAUCGUCAAAUUUGGGCAUGGGGGCGAAAGACUAAU